rnacentral:rRNA from 1 species
CAGCCGCCGCGGGAAUACGUAGGGGGCGAGCGUUGUCCGAAGUUACUGGGCGUAAAGCGCGCGUAGGCGGCUUCUUAAGUCUGAGGUGAAAGGUUCAACGCUUAACGUGAACAGUGCCUUGGAUACUGGGGAGCUUGAGUAUGGGAGAGGGCAGUGGAAUGGCUGGUGUAGCGGUGAAAUGCGUAGAUAUCAGUCGGAACACCCAUGGCGAAGGCAGCUGCCUGGCCUAAUACUGACGCUGAGGUGCGAAAGCGUGGGGAGCGAACGGGAUUAGAUACCCCCGUAGUCCCUGUCUCUUAUA